rnacentral:rRNA from 1 species
CGCAUGGUGGGUGUUGGAAAGAUUUAUCGGUUUUGGAUGGACUCGCGGCCUAUCAGCUUGUUGGUGAGGUAAUGGCUCACCAAGGCGACGACGGGUAGCCGGCCUGAGAGGGUGACCGGCCACACUGGGACUGAGACACGGCCCAGACUCCUACGGGAGGCAGCAGUGGGGAAUAUUGCACAAUGGGCGCAAGCCUGAUGCAGCGACGCCGCGUGAGGGAUGACGGCCUUCGGGUUGUAAACCUCUUUCAGUAGGGAAGAAGCGAAAGUGACGGUACCUGCAGAAGAAGCACCGGCUAACUACGUGCCAGCAGCCGCGGUAAUACGUAGGGUGCGAGCGUUAUCCGGAAUUAUUGGGCGUAAAGAGCUCGUAGGCGGUUUGUCGCGUCUGUCGUGAAAGUCCGGGGCUUAACCCCGGAUCUGCGGUGGGUACGGGCAGACUAGAGUGCAGUAGGGGAGACUGGAAUUCCUGGUGUAGCGGUGGAAUGCGCAGAUAUCAGGAGGAACACCGAUGGCGAAGGCAGGUCUCUGGGCUGUAACUGACGCUGAGGACGAAAGCAUGGGGAGCGAACAGGAUUAGAUACCCUGGUAGUCCAUGCCGUAAACGUUGGGCACUAGGUGUGGGGACCAUUCCACGGUUUCCGCGCCGCAGCUAACGCAUUAAGUGCCCCGCCUGGGGAGUACGGCCGCAAGGCUAAAACUCAAAGGAAUUGACGGGGGCCCGCACAAGCGGCGGAGCAUGCGGAUUAAUUCGAUGCAACGCGAAGAACCUUACCAAGGCUUGACAUGUUCUCGAUCGCCGUAGAGAUACGGUUUCCCCUUUGGGGCGGGUUCACAGGUGGUGCAUGGUUGUCGUCAGCUCGUGUCGUGAGAUGUUGGGUUAAGUCCCGCAACGAGCGCAACCCUCGUUCCAUGUUGCCAGCACGUCGUGGUGGGGACUCAUGGGAGACUGCCGGGGUCAACUCGGAGGAAGGUGAGGACGACGUCAAAUCAUCAUGCCCCUUAUGUCUUGGGCUUCACGCAUGCUACAAUGGCCGGUACAAUGGGUUGCGAUACUGUGAGGUGGAGCUAAUCCCAAAAAGCCGGUCUCAGUUCGGAUUGGGGUCUGCAACUCGACCCC